rnacentral:rRNA from 1 species
AACGAACGCUGGCGGCAUGCCUAACACAUGCAAGUCGAACGAGACCUCCGGGUCUAGUGGCGCACGGGUGCGUAACGCGUGGGAACCUGCCCUUAGGUUCGGAAUAACUCCCCGAAAGGGGUGCUAAUACCGGAUAAUGUCUUCGGACCAAAGAUCUAUCGCCUUUGGAUGGGCCCUCGUUGGAUUAGCUGGUUGGUAGGGUAAGAGCCUACCAAGGCGACGAUCGAUAGCUGGUCUGAGAGGAUGGUACGCCACACUGGGACUGAGACCCGGCCCAGACUCCUACGGAAGGGAGCAGUGGGGAAUAUUGGACAAUGGACGAAGGCCUGAUCCAGCAAUGCCGGGUAAGUGAUGAAGGCCUUAGGGAAGUAAAGCUCUUUUACCCGGGAUGAUAAUGACAGUACCGGGUGAAUAAGCUCCGGCUAACUCCGUG